GACCCGAAGCCCAGUGACCCCAAAUCCGACAGACCCAGAACCCGGUCCUCCAUGGCGUUUUCCGGCGACUUCCAGAACUGAUUUCCGGUUGUUUCAGCAUGGUUUUCUGGUGGAUUUAUGAGAAACCCCCAAAGUAAAAGGUCGAUUCUGACGCUAAUGGAAAGUCCAGAUGACAACCGUAAGACGAAGUCCCUUUCUUGUAAGGGAGUAGACCUCGCUGAGAGCGAUAGUUCGUGAUGAACCAGCCAAACCCUAACAUUGUAUAGUACGAUUUGUUCCUUUUGGAGUUCAUGAUUUUGUAUAGAUUUAUAUAUAGAAAGGUUUAAGAGAGUAGAAGUUUUAAAUUUUUAGUUGUAAAUGCACGCUUUUAUUUAUAAUGUUUGUUUUUAGCACUUAAA